AGAGUGAACGCUGGCGGUAGGCCUAACACAUGCAAGUCGAACGGCAGCACGGUAAGAGCUUGCUCUUAUGGGUGGCGAGUGGCGGACGGGUGAGGAAUACAUCGGAAUCUACCUUUUGGUGGGGGAUAACGUAGGGAAACUUACGCUAAUACCGCAUACGCCCUUCGGGGGAAAGCCGGGGACCAGCAAUGGCCUGGCGCUGAUAGAUGAGCCGAUGUCGGAUUAGCUAGUUGGUGAGGUAAUGGCUCACCAAGGCGACGAUCCGUAGCUGGUCUGAGAGGAUGAUCAGCCACACUGGAACUGAGACACGGUCCAGACUUCCGUAGGGAGCA
rnacentral:rRNA from 1 species